AGUCAGUGUCCUGCGGUGCUCUUCAGUGGCUCUCCCAAUCCGCUCGAUUACAGUGUCAAAGAGGGGCUCAGUGUCAGCUGACAGAGGCUGGGACUCAGAAGGGUCUCGUGAGAGGUCAAACAGCAGUGGAGGGUCAUGAUGGGUCACGCCUUCCCCAAAACAUGGGCAAAAUCCUCUGUCGUAACAAGCCCCAGCCCCGAGUGGACGGAAGUUUGGGGUUACAUAAUGAGCCUUCCAGACAGCUCCACCUGCCAGGAAAGAAAAAAGGCUCAGAAUGAUAUUGAUGGUUAUUAUCACCAAGCAUCAGAGGACUGAAUGUUUUCCUAGAGUUUAUUUUUGUGAGAUGGGUUUGCACAUUGGGUCUACAUUAACUACUCGAUAGAGUUUUGUAAUUUCAUUUAAAUUGAAUGACACAAAAUAUAAACUAAUACUGUAAAAUGA